rnacentral:rRNA from 1 species
UACGUAGGGGCGAAGCGUUGUCCGGAUUUAUUGGGCGUAAAGAGCGUGUAGGCGGCCAAGCAGGUCCGCUGUGAAAACUUGAGACUUAACCUCGAGACGUCGGUGGAAACCGUUUGGCUAGAGUCCGGAAGAGGAGAGUGGAAUUCCCGGUGUAGCGGUGAAAUGCGCAGAUAUCGGGAAGAACACCCGUGGCGAAGGCGGAUCUCUGGGCCAUUACUGACGCUGAGGAGCGAAAGCGUGGGGAGCGAACAGGAUUAGAUACCCCGAGUAGU